rnacentral:sRNA from 1 species
CUGGGCGCGGCCGGCGCUGCAGACCCGCUGCUGUUGUCCGGGUCUGUGCGGUCCCGAGGGCCCUCCGUGCCGCCGGCGCCAUGGGCAAUUGCCACACGGUGGGGCCCAACGAGGCGCUGGUGGUUUCAGGGGGCUGUUGUGGUUCCGACUAUAAACAGUACGUGUUUGGCGGCUGGGCCUGGGCCUGGUGGUGUAUCUCCGACACUCAGAGGUGAAGAUCAUGACGGAGAAGGAACUCCUGGCCGUGGCUUGUGAGCAGUUUCUGGGUAAGAAUGUGCAGGACAUCAAAAACGUCGUCCUGCAGACCCUGGAGGGACAUCUGCGCUCCAUCCUCGGUGAGGCCCUGUUCAGCCUUUGAGGAGCCUCACGGGGCCCCUAAGCCAAGGCAGGGAGGUGUGCAGGGCUGGGCAGGGGGCCUGUUUCACAGGAGUUUCAAGCUAAAACACUUUUCCUCAAAUAUUUAAUUUCAAAACUUCAGGCGACUUGAGUUAAGGAGAGGGUAUGAGUGAAGGGGUGGGAUGGGGGCUGUCGGUCUGCUCAGGAACCUAGUGCUGCUUGGGACACUUUUCCUCGUUCAGCCUGGACUGUGCAGCAGGAAGCUCGGUGUUAAGUGCUGUUGAGAAGAUACCCCAGGAAGACCCAGCUCAGAGUGCAGCACCCCGCAUGCACCCCUACCUCUACAUGCAUGCCUCCUCCCUUCCCC